rnacentral:lncRNA from 1 species
CUAAUUUAUAAAUAUCGAGGGAAUUGUAUACAGCAUGUUACCUCAUCUAAAAGGUACAAGUACUAAUGCAAAAAGUCCCUUGCCCAGCAUGUAUGUCUGGUGUUGCCCACAAUGAAUGUGUCUUUGACAGAAAGUAUAGAUGGAAAAGAGUCCACGCAUGGCUGAUGUUGAUUGAAGAUAUGUUUAUGCCCAAUACAGUAAAGAUAUUGUUCAAUACUUAUCUUCCUUGUGAAAAUAUUGCUAUUGCAAUAGUACCAAUGUUUCUAUAUGUGUUGAUACAAGCACCAACUGGGGAAGUUCAUUCUGCCUCUUCACAUAUGUAAGUGGUGUUGAAAAUCAUCCUCAUGUAUUUUUCAUGAGUGUCAGCUGUCCCUGCGAUCACGCUGCUGGCACUUCCAACUUGAUCUGUCUGAAUUUCCUUUGAGUACCGUACCAGGCAGUGCUUCUGGAUGAAGCUUUGCCCAAAGGCACUCCCGUGCUCUAGACUGGGUCGGGAUGCUGGGCCCAGCUGUGAGCUGUGUGUGACAUGAGGAGUCACCCUUGCAAGUUUUGCCCUGCACUCAUCGAGCUCAGCUCCUUCCUGCCUCCCCCGUGCUCGCAGCGCUUCGUGGGUUAGCGCCGCUGUCCGCAGGGGCCUUCCCCGUCCCCUUCCCAGCAACGCAGGAGGGAGGCUGUGCUCACACACCAUCUAAAUCCGGACCAAGAGGUGCAGCUCGCUCGGUGCCCAUCGACAUGGUAACAUCCGUUCUUCAUAUGGUACGUGUGUACGCGAUGGGCAUGCACAGAGGGUCACCACCAGCCCAGCCCUGUCUGCAGCGACCUGAUGAUCUUUGUGUGUUUGAGUGCAUGUCAAAUGGGGCCUGUGGGUGUUUGGAAAGGCCAGCUAUCAAACAGUUUCCUAUUAUCAUACACCCUGGGAAGAAGUUCUCAUUUCAUACCCCUGCUCCAGAGAGGUUCACCCUUCAGGACAAUAGGGUGGCCUCAGGAGAAGGACCUCAGUUGGACACAGUGAAAUGCUGCAUUUGCAAUAGCCAUGGAGCCCCUUGUUGGAACAGAUAUAAGAAUCAGUCAUGUCUUUGUCUUGGAGCUCGGCACCUCUUCUGGAGGAGUCCCCUGAUGUGA